AUUGAACGCAGGCGGCAGGCCUAACACAUGCAAGUCGAACGGUAACAGGAAGAAGCUUGCUUCUUUGCUGACGAGUGGCGGACGGGUGAGUAAUGUCUGGGAAACUGCCUGAUGGAGGGGGAUAACUACUGGAAACGGUAGCUAAUACCGCAUAACGUCGCAAGACCAAAAAGGGGGACCUUCGGGCCUCUUGCCAUCGGAUGUGCCCAGAUGGGAUUAGCUAGUAGGUGGGGUAACGGCUCACCUAGGCGACGAUCCCUAGCUGGUCUGAGAGGAUGACCAGCCACACUGGAACUGAGACACGGUCCAGACUCCUACGGGAGGCAGCAGUGGGGAAUAUUGCACAAUGGGCGCAAGCCUGAUGCAGCCAUGCCGCGUGUAUGAAGAAGGCCUUCGGGUUGUAAAGUACUUUCAGCGGGGAGGAAGGGAGUAAAGUUAAUACCUUUGCUCAUUGACGUUACCCGCAGAAGAAGCACCGGCUAACUCCGUG
rnacentral:rRNA from 1 species